UACGUAGGGGGCAAGCGUUGUCCGGAUUUAUUGGGCGUAAAGAGCGUGUAGGCGGCCACACAGGUCUGCUGUGAAAACUCGAGGCUCAACUUCGAGCUGUCGGUGGAAACUUUCUGGCUAGAGUCCGGAAGAGGAGAAUGGAAUUCCUGGUGUAGCGGUGAAAUGCGCAGAUAUCAGGAAGAACACCCGUGGCGAAGGCGGUUCUCUGGGACGGUACUGACGCUGAGACGCGAAAGCGUGGGGAGCGAACAGG
rnacentral:rRNA from 1 species